CACACACACACACACACAUACAUACAUAAACAGCUGUUGUUAUUCCAAAUACCAUCACUUAACCUAAGUUACAUUCACUGGAGUUAAAAAUCUGUCCAAGGAGACUUGAUUUAGCCAAAUCUGGAGUUACAUCCUUCUUAGCCAGGAUAAGACGCAGGAUAAGACCGAGGUUAAUUUAACAUUAAAACGCUGCUCAGUCAGAACACAUACAGAUAAUCAUGGUAUUUUUGUUAAUUACAAUAUUGUGCGGAUUUUUUUGGAUAAAUGCAUACAUUAGGUGUGGCGUUUUACUCUGAUCUAUAUUAUACGAAACAUCACUGGUCAUUUUAAUGUCUCCGAUUAAAAAGGUGCUCUUUCUUCUUCUUCUUCUUCUUCUUCUUCUUCUCUUACUGGCUGAGAAGAGGACUUUUCUGAUGAGGCACAGGUUUGUUCAGAACAAAAAAAAAUCCAUAUUUCUCUAAAAAUAAAUAUUCACCACCUUUGAACAUGGCUGAAUAACAAUGCCAAAAUGACGUAAAGAGAAAUCUAUGAAUCUAGAAGCGCAGACUCUUGUCUUAUUGUUAUUAUUAUUAUUAUUAUUAUUAUUAUUAUUAUUAUUAUUAUUAUGAUGUACCAUUACCAUCCUGAUGCUAAUUAUUAUUAAGCAUUUGAUUAAAGGCUAGCCGGUUGUUGUUAUGAAAACUUAAUAUCAGCACGGGGCUAAUUUACCUUGUUAGAAGCACUAUAUUCUCACUCAAGUGGUGUUUGAACCUUUUAAAUCUUUUCCAUCGUAUCGGUCCGUUGUUCAUCGGAGGGUCAGAUUAUGACUUAAGACAGCCAGUCGUUCUACUCGACAUGGCCGUGUGUGCAUUUGCACACGAUUUGAUUAAAUGAUCUUGUAAAAAAAAAAAAAAAAAAAUGUUUUCUCGUAUGACGUUCUCCUGUCCUGUUUGUUCACCACGUGUACCGUAUGCUUGGGUUUAAUGAUGCCGGGUCGCUUGCAGUGGGUGUCCCAACCGACCACGUUACAAACCCCACAGUUCAUUCACCUUUCAGCUGGGAUACUGAUUUUUGAAGUUCGCAAUUUGAAUGUGGAAAGUAAGAGGAAUCGAUGAAGAGGAUCCAGAGAAGCCAGUAGUUUUCUUUCCCCACGUAGAACCUGUAGGCCUGUUUAGAGUUUGCAAAUUCCUAGUAGAGUUUUGCUUUCAGCUACACCCACUCAGCACUCUGGAGCUGAUCACCUGGUCCUCUCUCUUCAAAACCUUAGAGACCGGCUUGCGAGAUUCUGAGUGUAACUGUAUAUACAUAUUCAUGGUUUAUGAAGCCUCUGACAAAAUUAUAUUUACAGUAAAUAUAAUGGCUGCCAUUUCGAGCCCCUGUUUGAACCUCCCUUGUGAGGUUACAAACAGCCAAUCCAUGUGGAGGAAACCUACCAGUCUUCCACUGCAGGUUACACUAGUGAUAUAUCUGGAGUGCUUUGGCAGAGUAACCACUGAAUCAUAGAUGGAGGAUGUACGUGUAUAAAAAUGGGAUAUCUGCCAAGACAUCGGUUAACACAUGACUACGCUAACAGCUUCAGAUUUAUCGAUGACCGUUAAUUUGUGACUCAAAAUGAAGCUGUAAUCAGUGUAUUUUGCACAAAGUUCAUUUUUCACAGCUACAUGGGAACCCAGCGCUCAGCCCGUCAGUAAUAAUGGUGUGAGGGAUGUACCGUGUGUCGUAUGUACACGUAUGAUAUUUUCUCCGAUUAUUUUGGGCAGCAAACUAUCCAUAUAAAGGAUCAGAUCUAGUAAUGCUUUAUUUUUCUUCUUCUUCUUCUUUAUCUUGAUUUAAUGAUUCAUCAAAAAAACAAAACAAGACUUGAGCGUGUAACAGGAUUGUACAGAUGACUCUGCAUUCGUUCCUUUGAGUAACACUAAUGUUUGUAUGUGAUACUAAUGUGUUUAAGUUGUAGUGUUUAAGCUUUCUUUGGGUUGUUGUUCUGUAUGCAGUAACGGUCAGCCAAAUGAACACAGGUGAUCUGCUUUCAGCAUAUAUGAAGAAGCACCAGGUAGACAAUGCAGUGAUGCUGUUUUACACCUUAUUUUUAAAAGAGAGAACACCGUGUGAUUUGUCAUCUGCCUUAAUUUGUGAAAAUCACCAAACAAACCACCAAGAGUCCUUCAAGAGAUGGUCUUUGACUCGUUCGUCAUCCUCGUCUUUCUGCCAGGCUUCUCUCCAGGAGAGAGACUGUAUUUAUGUAUCUACUGAUCAGGCGAAAGUGUCCCUUUUUUUAAAUCGUUCAUGUAGAAGUCAUGAGAAAUGAGAAAGGAAUGCAAUCUAUCUAUCUAAUGUAUUCUGUUUCUACUUUUUUAAGGCUGUAUUAAUGUUAUGUUUGGCGGAUUAAAUGCAUUGGAAUACUUGAAGAAACUGGUGUAUUU
ensembl:lncRNA